rnacentral:rRNA from 1 species
UACGUAGGCAGCAAGCGUUGUUCGGAGUUACUGGGCGUAAAGAGCGUGUAGGCGGCUAGGUAGGUCCGUUGUGAAAACUCGAGGCUCAACCUCGAGACGUCGAUGGAAACCAUCUAGCUAGAGUCCGGAAGAGGAGAGUGGAAUUCCUGGUGUAGCGGUGAAAUGCGCAGAUAUCAGGAAGAACACCCGUGGCGAAGGCGGCUCUCUGGUACGUGACUGACGCUGAGACGCGAAAGCGUGGGGAGCGAACAGG